UGGCUCCAGGGGUAGAGUGCCUGCCUUGUGAGCAGGAGGCCUUGAGUUCAAUCCUCAA
rnacentral:tRNA from 1 species